GCCUGGCUGGCUCAGUCAGUGGAGCAUGUGACUCUUGAUCUCGGGGUCGUGAGUUCAAGCCCCACUUUGGGUG
rnacentral:tRNA from 1 species